CGAAAUAUGUUCUCUGUCUCAACACAAAGAUUAUUGUUUUCAGUUUACUCUAUUCAUCGUGACUUGUCACAUCGUUUCUUCGGUUGCAUCUACACUUUUUAAUCGUGUUAUAGUAAUUUUUAAUCUUUAAUCAUUUACGUUAAUAACUUAGAAAAUGAGGGAAGAUAUUGGAAAAAAAGCCUACAAUUAUUUACUUGGUUUUGAAUUGAAUAAGUUCAAUAUUAAAAAAUUACCUACAUAUCGUGAGGUUAUGAAUCUUUUCAUGCAUAAACAUCGUGGACUUAAAAUGACCAUUCGACGAAGUUCUAAUGAGGUUAUAAGUGAAUUGAAUGAUCUUUGGAGUAACUUUUUAAUUCCUACUUGCCAACGAUAACAAAGUAUUAAAAAACUUGAAACUUUCCAUAAAGACUAUAUUAACCUAAAAAAAAAUCGAAAAUUGGCAAAAAAAUCCAAGAAACAACAAGACAAAACAGAUACAUUCAAUCUAAAGCUGAACCAAUUGUUUGAUAUUACUGACAAUACCAAAUAUCAGUACUUGCCAGAUAGCUGCAAAGAAUUUCUUAUAAAAAGUAGAGAAUCGGUUAAUUGUUUUCAAUUAGCUAAUGAGUUAUCAAGCGAAUCCGGCAUUCUUGACAAUCAAGAUAUCGACGAAGCUAUGCAAUGUAAAGAAGAUAAAAACAUAAUUCAAAAAGAGCUAACUUUCAGUCAACAUUCUAAGACCUCAAAUACAAUCAGUUUGGGCAGUCAAUCAUCUACCGACAGUCAACUGAAACGGUGUCACUCCAAUUUUGAAGAUGAGCUAGGAAUACCGAAACCUAAAGUGGCAAAAAAAAAUAUUAUGACACCUCAACUAGUCUCAGCAUUAGAUAGAACUAAUACAACUGACAGAAAUGCUAUGCACAUCAUUUCAGCAGUCAUUUUAAGUAUUGGAGAAAAUCUGGAAAAAUACAAUUUGAGUUAUUCGACAAUUCACAAUGCUCGUAUCAAACUUCGAAAAAAUAUUGCCGUGAAUUUAAAAGACACAUUUGAAAAAAAUCUCUGCCUUGUCAUCCACUGGGAUAGUUAAUUAUUUACUUCAGUAGGAUUUUCUAAAGAAGAACGGUUACCUAUUAUUGCUUCUGGAGUAAAUUUAGAGCAGUUACUUUCUAUUCCUGUGGUAGACAAAGGAACUGGAGUGAAAGAAGCUCACGCAAUUUAUACUUUUCUAAAUGACUGGAAUCUUGUCGAUUGCGUCAAAGCAUUUUGCUUUGACACAACUGCUGUUAACACUGGAAUUCAAUCGGGUGUGUGUACUUUAUUAAAAAAGAAACUAGAUCGUGAUAUACUUUAUUUUGCAUGUCGUCAUCAUAUUAUGGUAAUAAUAUUGAGAAACGUAACUGAAAUUGCUUGGCCAGUAACAAACAGUCCACACGUACCAAUAUUUAAGAGGCUAAAAGAUAAUUAGGCUAAAAUUAACACAUCUAUAUAUGACAUCGGCAUAGACGACGAGAUAAUUAAAGAUGUGUUACGUGAUAAUAAAAAUAAUAUCCUAGAAUUCAUAGAGGACCAAUUGCAGCAACAUCAGCCGAGAGAUGACUACAGAGAGUUACUCGAGUUAGCUUAUAUUUUCUUCGGAGGAAUACCAAUUAACGGGGUCAAAUUUAAAACUCCUGGAGCUAUACACUACGCAAGAUGGCUUGCUAAAGCAAUAUAUUGUUUAAAAAUAUAUAUAUUUAGGAAUCAAUUCACCAAGAGUGCUUCAGAUCUUCGUUCUUUGCGUGAAAUUUGUAUUUUUAUUGUCAUCUUUUAUACUAAGGUAUAGUUUACUGCCCCGAAUGCGAUCAAAGCACCACAGAACGUCUUAGAACUUUUCAAAAAUUUAAUAAAAUACAAGCAAAUCCAUCUUAAAGGCUGCCGAAGCUGCUUUGGAUAAAUUAUCUAAUCAUUGUUGGUACCUACAUGAACAACUUGCUUGUUUAGCUCUUUUCGACGAGGCUGUCACAUGCGAAGAAAAACUUAAAAUAAUAUAUAAUAUAAAAAAUAAAGAGUCAACAACAACUAAUGAUGAUGUAAAACGCCUGAAUGUGACACUGAAAGAGAUAAAUUAGAUAGCAUCAAAAAAUAUUAGUGACUUCGUGAGCAAAAAGUUAAUUUUUAUCUUCGAACAGUUUCAAUUGCCAUACAAUUUUAUGGAUAAUGGUUUUGAAUCAUGGGAAAAUGAUGCAUCUUAUCAAGAAUUUCUUCAUACAUUUAGCAAUUUGAGAGUUGUUAACGAUACUGCUGAGAGAGGGGUUGCUCUCAUUGAAGAGUUUAUUAACUGCUUGACGAACGACGAAGAUCAACGACAAUAUUUAUUGCAGGUUGUUCAAAAUAACCGUAAAAAUUAUCCGACAUGUGCAAAUUCCAAUUAUAAGUUAUUAUAACUGUCACUGAAUUCGUUAUUUAAGUACGUGAAACAUAAAAUGUGGUUUAUUGUUAAAUAAAUUAGUUUAUUUCGAAACGAAAA
rnacentral:lncRNA from 1 species